UAACAACUAUUUGUUGCAAAUCAAAAGAAACCAGCUGACAUCGUGGGCAUACUUGUUACAAACAGAAGCAAGCUUCUGAGGUUAUUGGGUGACUUAAAACUCGAUAAAGAGGACGAACAGUUUGAAGCUGACAAAGCACAAGUUAUGAAGGAAAUUGCUGCUCUGGAACCUAAGGAUCGCCCUUGAGCUUAAGAUAGUGUCAAGUGGCAGAUUGUGUUGUGGCAUUUUGCUUACUGAAAUGUCUCUUGCUAUAGUUUUUUAAGUGUCCAUCGACUUGAGACGAGCUCUUCACUCAAAUUUCAAUGAUUCCAUUCUGUAAUUUAAUUUCCAUUUUGUAAAUUAACUGACAAAUAAGUUGCUAAAAUGAGCCACAACUAGAACUAGGGUAUGGGGCUAUGGGCACUGGUGGUUUUAGAAAGAUGUGGGCAGCAGCCUGCCUUGACUCCUUUACCAUCAAUUUUUGAGUUUAUAAAUUGCUGGAGCUGGAGGUCAUGCAAUCUUUGACCGUCUACAAGUUUGUGACUUGUUGAACCUGAAUGAUGGCUGUUUCUGGUGUCUGCGUACUUCACGGUCAACACUAGCUGAUUUUUAAGGUUUUGAUGAUUGAUAAA